rnacentral:rRNA from 1 species
GGAGGUCCGAACCCACGAGCGUUGAAAAGCUCGGGGAUGACUUGUGGGUAGCGGUGAAAUUCCAAUCGAGCCCGGAGAUAGCUGGUUCUCCCCGAAAUAGCUUUAGGGCUAGCCUCAAGGUGAGAGAUACGGAGGUAGAGCACUGAAUGUCCUAGGGGGUAUUGCACCUACCGAAGACUAUCAAACUCCGAAUGCCGUCAUCUUAUACUUGGGAGUCAGACUGUGGGUGAUAAGAUUCAUAGUCGAAAGGGCAACAGCCCAGAUCGUCAGCUAAGGUCCCUAAAUGUAAGUUAAGUGGUAAAGGAUGUGGGAUUGCACAGACAACCAGGAUGUUGGCUUAGAAGCAGCCACUCAUUCAAAGAGUGCGUAAUAGCUCACUGGUCGAGUGAUCCUGCGCCGAAGAUUUCCGGGGCUAAAACUUACUACCGAAGCUACGGCAUCAGUAAUGAUGGGUAGGGGAGCUUCCCAUACGGGUUGAAGCAUGACCGUAAGGACAUGUGGACAGUAUGGGAGUGAGAAUGUUGGCAUGAGUAGCGAGAUGUGGGUGAGAAUCCCACAGGCCGUAAACCCAAGGU